rnacentral:rRNA from 1 species
AUUGAACGCUGGCGGCAUGCCUUACACAUGCAAGUCGAACGGCAGCGGACCUUCGGGUGCCGGCGAGUGGCGAACGGGUGAGUAAUAUAUCGGAACGUACCUUUCAGUGGGGGAUAACGUAGCGAAAGUUACGCUAAUACCGCAUAUUCUGUGAGCAGGAAAGCAGGGGAUCGCAAGACCUUGCGCUGAUUGAGCGGCCGAUAUCAGAUUAGCUAGUUGGUGAGGUAAAGGCUCACCAAGGCGACGAUCUGUAGCGGGUCUGAGAGGAUGAUCCGCCACACUGGAACUGAGACACGGUCCAGACUCCUACGGGAGGCAGCAGUGGGGAAUAUUGGACAAUGGGCGAAAGCCUGAUCCAGCAAUGCCGCGUGUGUGAAGAAGGCCUGAGGGUUGGUAAA